rnacentral:rRNA from 1 species
AGUGAACGCUGGCGGUAGGCCUAACACAUGCAAGUCGAACGGCAGCACAGUAAGAGCUUGCUCUUACGGGUGGCGAGUGGCGGACGGGUGAGGAAUACAUCGGAAUCUACUUUUUCGUAGGGGAUAACGUAGGGAAACUUACGCUAAUACCGCAUACGACCUACGGGUGAAAGCAGGGGAUCUUCGGACCUUGCGCGAUUGAAUGAGCCGAUGUCGGAUUAGCUAGUUGGCGGGGUAAAGGCCCACCAAGGCGACGAUCCGUAGCUGGUCUGAGAGGAUGAUCAGCCACACUGGAACUGAGACACGGUCCAGACUCCUACGGGAGGCAGCAGUGGGGAAUAUUGGGCAAUGGGCGCAAGCCUGAUCCAGCCAUACCGCGUGGGUGAAGAAGGCCUUCGGGUUGUAAAGCCCUUUUGUUGGGAAAGAAAAGCAGCAGGUUAAUACCCCGCUGUUCUGACGGUACCCAAAGAAUAAGCACCGGCUAACUUCGUG